UCAAGCUACAAAGGGCUUACGGAGGAUGCCUUGGUACGUGGCGCCGAAGAAGGACGUGACAAGCUGCGAAAAGUUGCGGGGAGGAGCAAAUAUCCUGUGAUCCGCAAAUAUCCGAAUGAGGGAACUCCGCACGGGUAAAGCCGUGUGAUCCGUAUAUGAAUAGAUAGUAUACGGAGGGGAACCCGGGGAACUGAAACAUCUAAGUACCCGGAGGAAAAGAAAACAAAAGUGAUUCCGAAAGUAGUGGCGAGCGAAAUCGGAAGAGCCCAAACCGAAUGUAGAAAUACGUUGGGGGUAAGGACCGCGAGAAGCUAGAGAGAAAGCUAACCGAAAUACCUGGGAAGGUAUAACGCAGAGGGUGAAAUUCCCGUAGGUGAAAGCAGAAGCUCGGCGAGCGGAAUCCGGAGUACGUCGGGACACGAGAAAUCCUGACGGAAGGAACGGGGACCAUCCCGUAAGGCUAAAUACGACCACGUGACCGAUAGCGAAUAGUACCGUGAGGGAAAGGUGAAAAGGACCCCGGGAGGGGAGUGAAAAAGAACCUGAAACCGUAAGUUUACAAGCAGACGGAGAGCGUUAAGUGCUCGACGUCGUACUUUUUGUAGAACGGGCCGGCGAGUUACGAUGUGAUGCGAGGUUAAGCGAUGAAGUCGCGGAGCCGAAGCGAAAGCGAAUCUGAAAAGGGUGAUAAGUAUCAUGUCGUAGACCCGAAACCGAAUGACCUAACCAUGAGCAGGUUGAAGCAAUGGUAAAACGUUGUGGAGGACCGAACACACGCCUGUUGAAAUAGUCGGUGAUGACUUGUGGUUAGCGGAGAAAUUCCAAACGAAUUCGGAUAUAGCUGGUUCUCCUCGAAAUAGCUUUAGGGCUAGCCUCGCGAGACAGACUAUGAAGGUAAAGCACUGAAUGACCUAGGGGGCUUCACAGCCUACCGAAGUUUAUCAAACUAAGAAUGUUAUAGUUAAAGGCGCGGGAGUCAGACAGCGACAGCUAAGUGCCGUUGUCAAAAGGGAAACAGCCCAGAUCUACAGCUAAGGUCCCGAAGUACAGGUUAAGUGGAAAAGGAUGUGACGAUGCAAAGACAACCAGGAUGUUGGCUCAGAAGCAGCCACGCAUUAAAAGAGUGCGUAAUAGCUCACUGGUCGAGUGACGUUGCGCCGAAAAUUAACGGGGCUCAAACCUGACACCGAAGCUUAGGAAUACUUUAAGGAGUAUUGGUAGAGGAGCAAUGUAUACGAGAAGAAGGCGUACCGGAAGGAGCGCUGGAUUGUAUAGAAGAGAGAAUGCCGGCAUAAGUAGCGAGAGCGGAGCGAGAAACUCCGCCGUCGAAAGUCUGAGGUUUUCCGGGGAAGGUUCGUCCGCCCGGAGAAAGUCGGGACCUAAGCGGAGGCCGAAAGGCGUACGUGAUGGACAGCAGGUUGAUAUUCCUGCACUACCGAGAGAGAUAAUGAAGCAAUGACACGGAAAGAUAGAAGAAGCGCGCGGAUGGAAAAGCGCGUCCAAGCAAAGAGGGUGGCUGGUAGUAAAGAACGCCAGUCGGAAGCCUGAUUUGUGACGGGGAGUGGACCAAGGAAACGAAGUCUUUGAAUCUACGCCGGCGAGAAAAGUUGCUAAAUAUUUCGAGGUACCCGUACCGCAAACCGACACAGGUAGACGAGAAGAAAAUUCUAAGACGAACGGGAGAACCCUUGUUAAGGAACUCGGCAAAACGACCCCGUAACUUCGGGAGAAGGGGAGCCAUCGAGAGAUGGCCGCAGUGAAGAGGCCCAAGCGACUGUUUAUCAAAAACACAGGUUUCUGCUAAGGCGAAAGCCAAGGUAUAGGAGCUGACUCCUGCCCAGUGCCGGAAGGUCAAGGGGACUUGUUAGUCGAAAGGCGAAGCAACGAACUUAAGCCCCGGUGAACGGCGGCCGUAACUAUAACGGUCCUAAGGUAGCGAAAUUCCUUGUCGGGUAAG
rnacentral:rRNA from 1 species